rnacentral:lncRNA from 1 species
CUCAGAUGCUCAAGCCACUGCCUCUUCCUGCUGCCUGGGGAUCCAGAUGUAGAACUCUCAGCUCCUUAUCCAGCACCAUUCUGCCUGCGUGCAUCCAUGCUUCCUGCUAUGAAGAUAAUGGACUAAACCUCUGAACCUGUAAACCAGCCCCAUAGCCCUCAUCCAGUGACUGAUGGAAGCAGAGGCAAAUAUCCACAGAUAUACACUGAACUGAACUCUGGAACCUAGUUGCAGAGAGGGAGGAAUGGUACCAGGCUGGUGAAACCCACAGAAUCAGCUGGCCUGAACAAGGGGGAGCACAUGGACCACAGACUGCUGUCUGGGAGGCCAGCACAGGUCUGAAUCAGACCCCUGAACAUGGAUGUCAAUGAGGAGGCCUCCACACUCUACUGGUCCCCUGGUAGUGGAUUAGUAUUUUUCCCUGGGAAGGGACUUUGAGAGUCCAUCCCACAUGAAGGAAUGCACUCUUGGCCUGGACACAUGGGGAAGGGCAUAGGCUCGGCCCAGGAUGAUGUGGUGGACUUGAGGAGCCCCGUCGAUGGCCCUACCCUGCUUGGGUAGUUGAGGGUGGAUGGGUUUGGAGGCAGGUACUGGCUUGGUGGGAGGUUGGGGGAGAGGAGGAAGAAGGGAUUGACACGUGAAGCAAGCUUGUUCCUAAUUUGAACUAAAAAAAAAAAUAAAAAAAAUAGUGUCAUAUCAAAAAAAGGACACAUAGUGGGGCUGGAGUGAUGGUGCAAUGGUUAAGAGCACUGGCUAUUCUUCCAGAGGAUCCAGGAUGGAUUUUAAGCACUCACAUGACAGCUAGAAACUGCCCGUUAACUCCAGUUCUAGGGUAUCUGACACCUUCACACAGACAUACAUGCAGGCAAAACACAAAUGCACAUGAGAUAAAAUAAAAUUAUUUUUUUCUCCAUUUUUUUAUUUAAAUUAGAAACAAGAUUGUUUUACAUGUCAAUCCCAGGUCCCUCUCCCUCCCCCUUCCCCUGACCCCACUAACCCCCUACCUAUACCAUACCAUUUCUGCUCCCC